AACGAACGCUGGCGGCGUGUUUAAGACAUGCAAGUCGCACGGGAUAAGACAUGUAGUAAUACUUGUUUUAUUUAGUGGCGCACGGGUGAGUAACACGUGAAUUACAUGCCCUAUAGUGGGGAAUAGCCCAGGGAAACUUGGAUUAAUACCCCAUGGUAUCGAAAGAUUAAAGGUGGCCGCAAGGCUGUCGCUAUAGGAUUGGUUCGCGCCCUAUCAGCUUGUUGGUGAGGUAACGGCUCACCAAGGCAAUGACGGGUACCUGGUCUGAGAGGACGAUCAGGCACACUGGAACUGAGACACGGUCCAGACACCUACGGGUGGCAGCAGUCGAGAAUAAUUCACAAUGGGGGCAACCCUGAUGGUGCAACGCCGCGUGGAGGGUGACGGUCUUCGGAUUGUAAACUCCUGUCAUCUGGGAGAAAGACCUGACGGUAAAUAGCCGGCAGGGUUGAUAGUACCAGAAGAGGAAGGGACGGCUAACUCCGUGCCAGCCGCCGCAGUAA
rnacentral:rRNA from 1 species